UAAGCAGGUUUGGGUCUUAGAAGCAUUAAUAAUCUAUGAAUAAUUGAUGUUUUAUAUAAUCUUCAAUCUCUAUCGUUGUCGAUAAAGUAUCUUAUAUAUCUGAGAUUUUUGAACCUUUGCAUAUAAACAUUCCUAAGCUUUAGUAGUUUUUUGUUAAGGAAAUGAACUCCAGCCCUGAGUCCAUGAAUCUCCCAGAGGUUGUAUAUGUCAUAUUCUUGUUUUCAUCCUUGAGUGGAUAUUCAAUUUCGUUUAUAAGCUUAGUAUAGUGCAAAAUCUCGGAUGUGGUCAUGGCUGCGGUAACGAUCGUGAAACCACUUUUAUAUUCAAUGUGGAUGGCUUUGCGGGUCUUGCCGCCUAUAUUGUGGCUACCAUAACUAGUAGCUCAAAAACCUUAACAUGCGGUCUCAAUGCAAUUCUACAGCCGAUAUUUUGCACUAUACCUGACACUUGCAUCUUAACCAUUAGACUUGUAGUCUCCGAGAGCAUUGGGCCCUCGAAACACUUUUUUCUAUAUUUCUGCAUGGGGCUCACUUCAUAUUUGCAUUUUAUUCUGUUAGCUGUUAAGCAUUAAGAUUUUGUCGCACAGAUUCAAGAAUCUAUUACCCAGGUCCUUAUAAAACAAUCGGAAGCACUUGGCAAGAAGCGUCCUGCAAACAAGGACACGGCAGGCCCAUCACAACAGUCUCAAAGUUCUUACCCAAGGAGGAAGAGGAGGAGAAGAAAUAGUUCUAUUGAAUAUCAAGACUAUGACGACAAUGAUGAUGCACAUGAUAGUGACAAACAAUUUGUUCCAGAUGAACAUCACAGAGAAAUCAAGCCAAGGAAGGCGAGAAAUAGGGGUACUGUUGGAGGUUCGCAUAGUCCAUCAACACCACAUUUAAGUGGGGGAUUUUUUGACAAUAAUGUACAACCAAGUAAGGAAGAACAAGGUUUAUCUCCUGUGUUGACUAGUGGAACUAAAAGGCUUUCGUGGGGUAGGGGUGGUGCCCGCAGUAACAAUAGGCAUGGCAAGGUAUAGGAUGUCACGAUUAAAAAUGCCCAACGUAUCCGCUUAGCCAAGUUAGUUGACUUUCUCCACAACAUGGAGGAAAAUGGUGAUGAGUUUGCAGCUUUGCAAAUGGCAUCAAAAGAGGAAAAGUGGGGUUGCAAGAUGUCAAUGAUUCCCACAACCAUAACUCAGUUCUCCAACCAUGUAACGAUAAACAGUCUCAAGUUGUUGAUUUGUUACAAGUCGAAUUGCAUAGAUUGAACAGACAAGAUGCUGCUCCAGGGGUUGCUGUAGCCAGCACCUGCAUUUCAAAUGGCGAACGCUUGAUUCUAUCUUACCCACGAAAGGAAGCCAUGUAAAGUAUAAUUGCUCUUCCUAUGAGUGGACUCACGGCCAAGAGCUUCACCAUACAGGCAAGAACAAGUGAGUUCUAAAUGCCAUGCCCUGGAAUCUGGAUAUAUUGUUAACCAACCGGAAGAGAUACGCCAAUUCGAGAUACCACAUACGUGAAGAAUGCCUGUAGUUUUACAGAUCCUUUCUUUUACACUAUAGUUUAAGUGAUCCUUUACAAAUUACAAUUCUUUUCAUACUGCCGAUUUAUGUAAAUAGACUGGUAUAUUAGGAUAAAUUAAUACCCCUCUUUAGGAAUGGGCAUAAGUUGAUUAUAGAUGCAGGCAAAUAAUUUGUGUUUAUUAAGAAACAGUUCCUAAUUUUCUUUCCUAUCAUAUUAUCAUACAAUCAUACAAAUUUUAUUGGAACGGUUUGGUCCGGUCUAGUCUGGUGUCUUGAUUGGUCUGGUUUGGUCUGAUUUUUCUGUCAAACCAUAUCAAAUCGGAUCGUGUGCAGCCCUAUAUUGAAAAAUUCUAAAGGGCAAGUUUAUAAAUGAUGUACAUUUGUCAUAAUGCUAUUGCUUUUAAAAUUAUAUACUACUAGAUAAUCUCCGUGUGAUGCAUGGUUUUUUUUCAUUUUGAUGUAAAAAACAAAUAAAUUGAAUAAAUCCGGCAUAAUAUUACAUUAAUAU